rnacentral:rRNA from 1 species
GACGAACGCUGGCGGCGUGCUUAACACAUGCAAGUCGAACGGUAAGGCCUUUCGGGGUACACGAGUGGCGAACGGGUGAGUAACACGUGGGUGAUCUGCCCUGCACUUUGGGAUAAGCCUGGGAAACUGGGUCUAAUACCGAAUAUGACCAUGGGAUGCAUGUCUUGUGGUGGAAAGCUUUUGCGGUGUGGGAUGGGCCCGCGGCCUAUCAGCUUGUUGGUGGGGUUAUGGCCUACCAAGGCGACGACGGGUAGCCGGCCUGAGAGGGUGACCGGCCACACUGGGACUGAGAUACGGCCCAGACUCCUACGGGAGGCAGCAGUGGGGAAUAUUGCACAAUGGGCGGAAGCCUGAUGCAGCGACGCCGCGUGAGGGACGACGGCCUUCGGGUUGUAAACCUCUUUCAGCACAGACGAAGCGUGAGUGACGGUAUGUGCAGAAGAAGGACCGGCCAACUACGUGCCAGCAGCCGCCGGGUAACAC